AGUGAACGCUGGCGGUAGGCCUAACACAUGCAAGUCGAACGGCAGCACAGUAAGAGCUUGCUCUUACGGGUGGCGAGUCGCGGACGGGUGAGGAAUACAUCGGAAUCUACUUUUUCGUGGGGGAUAACGUAGGGAAACUUACGCUAAUACCGCAUACGACCUACGGGUGAAAGCAGGGGAUCUUCGCACCUUGCGCGAUUGAACUCGCCGGUGUCGGAUUAGCUAGUUGGCGGGGUAAAGGCCCACCGAGGCGCCGAUCCGUAGCUGGUGUGAGAGGAUGGACCGCCACUGUGGAAGUGAGACACGGCACAGAGACCGAGGGGAGGCAGAGGCGGGGAAGAGAGGAAGAAGGGCGCAAGACUGAACCAGGCAUAGCGCGUGGGUGAAGAAGGCCUUCGGGUUGUAAAACGCUUUUGUGGGGAAAGAAAAGCAGCAGGUGAAUACAAGGGUGUGCUGAGGGAACCCAAAGAAUAAGCACCGGCAAACAUCGG
rnacentral:rRNA from 1 species